GGGGGUAUAGCUCAGUUGGUAGAGUACUUGCUUCACAUGCACAAGGCCCUGGGUUCAAUCCCCAGCACCACCG
rnacentral:tRNA from 1 species